UAGUAUAAUAUAAAAUAACUAUCAGUUCAUUAAAAAAAAACGUAAAAGAAUAACGAAAGUACGGACAAUCGGUAAAUCCCGGGAUUUUAAUUUCCGGGACUUACUCAUGCAACCCUAUUACAUUUUAUCAGUGUACAUUUUUAGGGUUCCGUACCCAAAGGGUAAAAACGGGACCCUAUUACUAAGACUUCGCUGUCCGUCCGUCCGUCUGUCAUCAGGCUGUAUCUCAUGAACCGUGCUAGGCAGUUGAAAUUUUCACAGAUGAUGUAUUUCUGUUGCCGCUAUAACAACAAAUACUAAAAACAGAAUAAAAUAAAUAUUUAAGUGGGGCUCACAUACAACAAACGUGACUUUUUUGCCGUUUUU